GUUGAACGCUGGCGGCAUGCCUUACACAUGCAAGUCGAACGGCAGCAUGAUCUAGCUUGCUAGAUUGAUGGCGAGUGGCGAACGGGUGAGUAAUACAUCGGAACGUGCCCUGUAGUGGGGGAUAACUAGUCGAACGAUUAGCUAAUACCGCAUACGACCUGAGGGUGAAAGUGGGGGACCGCAAGGCCUCAUGCUAUAGGAGCGGCCGAUGUCUGAUUAGCUAGUUGGUGAGGUAAAGGCUCACCAAGGCGACGAACAGUAGCUGGUCUGAGAGGACGAUCGGCCACACUGGGACUGAGACACGGCCCAGACUCCUACGGGAGGCAGCAGUGGGGAAUUUUGGACAAUGGGGGCAACCCUGAUCCAGCAAUGCCGCGUGUGUGAAGAAGGCCUUCGGGUUGUAAAGCACUUUUGUCCGGAAAGAAAUCGCACUUACUAAUAUUAGGUGUGGAUGACGGUACCGGAAGAAUAAGGACCGGCUAACUACGUGCCAGCAGCCGCAGUAAAAC
rnacentral:rRNA from 1 species